GGCUACUGAAAUCAGCAGGAAGGGGGGCCCUGUCGGGCGACACCAGGGGGCUUGCCAGGCUGGAGGAGGCAUCAGUGCCCGCCUGCAGAGAACAAGGACCUUCACUCAGUAGUUUCGGAGCCCUUCCAGAUUUUGCAGUGAGCUUAAUUGAAUAUGCCGGCCUGAACUUUUCCUCUAGCUGCUGUCUCUAAUUAAAGCUUGUAGUAAGUAAAUCUCUUUGCUCAAAAAGAGCCAGCUGUCCAAUGUAUAUACUGUACAAUUUUAAUAGGUUUCUUAAAAGUUCUGUGACCGGGCUUUCGGUAAACAAACUUUCAUCUGGUGAGAGCGGUUUGAAAUGUUCAGUUUUUAGAUAGAACGAUGCUCCCAGGAGACAGCGGCUGGGACGUUAUGCAAUAAUCCCAAAGGGAAUCCAUCUCCCAUCGCUGCUCCUCCCAGCCAGGAAGCCAUCAGACCUAACAAAAACAACAACAUGAGCCCUUCAGAAAAGCCAGUUACACACCCGCCUCCCAGCCCUGCGGCUACAAGCGCCUCUCCAGAUACACCCUCUCAGCAUUUCAUUAGGAGUUUGGAUGCUGGGUUUUUCCAAGUGAAUAUGUUGUUUGCUGUGUUCAGUUCUUCUUAUUACCGUGGUAACUGUUUCAGCAUUUAGACGAGUGGCUUUUUACCUGGACUUCUAUACAGUACUGGGCUUAAGGUAUUCUGGGCAACUGAGAAAUCAUGCAGACCAGCAAUCCAAUCUAAUAUGCUGAUGUAUACAG